rnacentral:rRNA from 1 species
UACAGAGGGGCAAGCGUUGUUCGGAAUUACUGGGCGUAAAGGGCGCGUAGGCGGCCUUCUAAGUCGAACGUGAAAUCCCCGGGCUCAACCCGGGAACUGCGUCCGAUACUGGAAGGCUUGAAUCCGGGAGAGGGAUGUGGAAUUCCAGGUGUAGCGGUGAAAUGCGUAGAUAUCUGGAGGAACACCGGUGGCGAAGGCGGCUUCCUGGACCGACACUGACGCUGAGGCGCGAAAGCUAGGGGAGCAAACGGG